CACCGAUCAAAUUCAUACUCUGUGCGCACUAUAUCCUUCAGAAAUAACAGCUCACUCAUCCCAUGAUUUCCCUAUACUCCUAAAGUGCCAUAACCCAUAUCCAUAAAUUUCCUUAAUCGAGUCAUUCUCGAACUCCGCCUCUGCAAGUCAUGACUGAUUCCCAUGUAUACCCCAGACCAAAAUACAAUUUUGACAUAUAACCAUAAAUUGAAUUGCCAUUAGUUGACUCCCCCACUUGGCUCAAAGCCAUAAAUUAAAACACUCGAUAACUCACAAUUUUCAUACUAUAUUACUGUCAUAACACCGUAGUCAGUUCAACAAAAAUUAUUCUUAAGCUCAUGCAACAUCAACCAUAAAAUAACUCAAUCGUCCGCUAAACUCGCAUUCAUUCUUGAACACUCAAGUCAACUUUCUCAACCAGAUUCAAUUCAAAUAUCAUCACAUACGCCCCGCUGGAAAAAAAGAAAAUCUCCAUUCACAUAAUAAGGAACACACCUACGCAGAUUACUUCGCAGGGGAUAACCUACCUGAUUAACCUUAAAUUGGUAUCUUGUUAUACCCUUUCGUAGUUACAAUUACUAUGAAAUCACUUAAUCUUUCUGAGUCCAAACUCAUAACACGACAUGAAAAUCUACUUCACUCCACAACUAAAAAACAUGAGAGGCCCUUCAACAUACCCAUAACUUGAGGCCAUACGCCACAUCAAGACAGAAGCCAAACACNNNNNNNCCCUGAGAGGCCCUUAGAGGCCCUUCAGAGGCCCUUCAACAUACCCAUAACUUGAGGCCAUACGCCACAUCAAGACAGAAGCCAAACACCUAAUGGUACUUGCUACAUCUCAAGUAAGAUCUUCUUGUCACAUUCGAACAAUCUGAACACAUCUCACAGUCAUAUCAUUCUCACAACUCAGUCAUUCAAUCAAAAAUUCAACUAAUAGAGACACCACCAGACAUUUAAGUCUCAAAAGCACGUGCUCACACAAUCGAAAUCUCCGUGCUCAAUCUACCGUCAAAACGCAGCCUCAAGUCCUCCAGACUGCCCAUCAUCAGCACACCAAAAUCAUAUCUCGCACCUCAACCAUGGAAUCACAAGCCGCCGGCGCACAGCCGAUACCGAGUGCUCAAAUGCGCAUAAAAAUGCAUGGAAGGAAUUCAAAGAGUUACGCUUUGUUGAAUAAAUACCACCCGAUAAGGAAAGAAAUAUGCGAAGUAUAUCCUAAAUGUCUUGUAGCCUCUUGAAUGUAGGUAUAGACAUCAUCAUAAUGAUCUGCAAGACUCUACUAAACACUUGCUCAUGACUUGUAGAACCUAUGAACCUAGAGCUCUGAUAGCACCUUAUCACGACCCAAAAUCUUACUAGUCGUGAUGGCACCUAAUCCAACCCGCUAGGUAAUCCAUUCAACCACUAACCAAUUCCAAUAAUAAUUAAUAAAGGGAUUAAGUAAAGAAAUAUCUGAAUCUUAUACAUUCCCCAAGGACUGGUAGUACAAAUUAUGAGAUUCUAAGAAUAGAGUUUACAAAGCUGAAAUGAAGUAAAUACAUCAUCUGUUUGAAAAAUGCAUUAACAGAGUUUUAUAGAUCUAAGGCUACCACGAACAAGAGGCAGCGACAACUGGGACGCAGGUACAUCUUCAAAUCCAGCUCCCC
rnacentral:lncRNA from 1 species